GAUGAGUGGCUAAACUCCUCUUUGCAUGCUUGCGACAGCAGCGAGGCUGCAUCCCUGCUGCAGCCCUGGAUGGAAUCCCUUUGUAUUCAGUGCUUCUGGGUUUAAGGAUGCUCAUCCACACCGAGUAGGCGGUGGGAUGUCCUUCGUAGUGCCAACAGGCAGGUAUUGCCCUGCCUGGCUGCUCUGAGGGUGCUUGGCUGAGGUGGGUGAUGCUCAGUGGCUGUAUUUGCAAACAAGCCCACCCUUCCUUGUCCCCUCCCCAGCACGGCACACGCUGGCAGCUGGCACCAUUAACUAGGUUAGCUCUCUAAAUGGUGUUAGUGCCAGGUGCCUUAUGCAACUGCCUAAUGAGCUGAGAGAGGUUGCAGAAUGUCAGGGCAUUAAUCUGGGAGAGGAGAGGCGGGUGCAGUGCCAAAGCAGGGCUGCAGAACAGCUUAGUGUGGAGGAGGACAGGGAAGGAGAGCAUCCCCACACACGCCUGCUCCACGCUCUGGCAUGUUGCAUGCUCUCCGGGCGAGGGACAGGCUCGUCUUGCCCUGGGAGAGAUGGAUUUGUGCAGGGAGGGCAGCAGAGCAAACCAGGAGACGGGCCCCGGGCGAGAGGGCCGCCUGCCAGUCUGAUUCCUUUGCCCUGGUUUUCCUCCGGGCAUGUUCUCUCUCGCACGGUUUCAGCAGGCUCUUCUCCCCUGUUUCUUCCCAGCCCCUAAAGGAUUGUUUUCCAGCCUGCCUUCCGAGAGCUGGAAGUGGGUCUGGGAAGUAUGGCACAACUUUGUGCCAGUCAGCAGGAGGAUCCCAAACCCAGCCCAGCCCUAGCAGUGUGCACAGCGAGUGCUGGAUUGGGAAUAAAGGAACCAAACACAGGUUUGGCUUUCUCUGCCUCAUGAAUUAGGCUUUCCCCAGGAUGGAGAAGGAUGCCACACGGGUCACUUGGCCACUUUGGCUGGAGGCAGGGCUGAGAGAAGGCUAGUGACUGCUGGUUUGCUGGCUGUGCAGUGUGUUGGCUCAGGUGUGGGUCUGAGAGCAUGGGUUUGCUUGCACAGGACGCCCUGGCCAGCACCUGUCCCAGUGUGAGAGGACAGCGUGUUCCUUAAGUCCUUGCUCCAGCCCUGGGGUAUGCUGCAGCACUGGGAUCCAGCAUGGAGCUGGGAUGUACCAGCCAAGGGCAGGGAGGAAUGGAUUUACAGGCAGAUAAUAGGCCUAGGAGAGGAUGCUGCUGGCAUAGACUGUCCUUUUUUAAUGUCAGCCCCAUUCAGUGCCUCCUGGUGGGUGCCUUUUCCCAAGGAAAGUCUGUUUUCCCAGCCCAGCUGGGUUCCUGGACCUGUUAUCAGCUUUUUAGUGCUUUAUCAGUAGGGCCUUUUAUCAGAGCAGGGUGGGUAUAGGGAGAGGAGCAGGCCCUGCAGGUCUUGCAGCCCAUGGGGCUGAGCUUUGACCAGUGUUUGGGAGGGGAAUGAUGGCAGAGAGCAGGUCCAGCACCAUGCCAGAGCAUGACCAUUCACCAGCACCCUGCUCAGCUUGGCUUGGCUGCUUCUUGAAUUGGAGUUGACUUAGUCCACGUAUCCCUCUCACUUUAUUCCUCCAAGCUCAGGCUGUGCUCUUUGAGGUUGAGCAAAUACAAUAACUCACUUCCAUGCUGUUGGGGUCAGCUUUUCCCUUGGAGUUUCUCAUCAUCCUUCUCAAUAACCCACUAACACAAUCAGAAACACUUGCCUGAAGUCACUUGCCCUUAUGCCAACCCCAUAGGCGCCAGCCAGGCAUGCUUCAGAUCUGCCUUUCAUCCCUCAGUGCAGCCAAAUGAACUUGCUUUGAUUCUGGUGGCGUUUUUGGUUCUUCCUCCCCUUUUUCCUUUGUUUACCCACCAUAAAUCAGUGCGAGUGUCAGAGCUAUGGAUGGGUACCCCGUGGCACACCUGCAGGCUUAAGCUCCAGAUAAAGCCGUUUCCAAGGCUUCUUGUCCCGUUCCCUUACAGUAAGAGAUAACGAUGUGGCUUAAAUCCAGGAUUGGGAUGGAAGUUUUCCAUGUUGACCACUUAUACCUGAGGCUGCCUCCACGCCCCGUCUGAGCUCGCAGCCACUCAGAGCCAGGAAUCUGGAAGCAGGAGAUCAUCUCCAGGAUUUUGGCACAGCGGCAGAGUGCGAGUUCCCUCUGCUGGCACGUGGCAGGACGGGGCUGCCGUGCCUCCACAUUCCCAUCUCGCACCCAUCCCUAGGGAGAAAGAGCAGGGGCAGCUCUUGGGAAACCUCGUGGAUGAAUCUUGAAGCCUUUUGGCACAGAGAGCUUCAGGGAUGUCCCCAGCCAAUUGGUCCCUGUAUCCCAGUGGGACUUUGCAGCCGCAGGGAUAAAUCCUGGCACAUCUCAGAAGGGUGGGAAGGAGACCACCAUCAGGUGGGGAGUCCUUGGGGUGCAAAGACCUGGAGCCCUUUCCUCAUGGAGCUUCCUGGGAAGCGUUGGGAUUUCUUGGUUGGCAAACUUGGCUUUUCUUGCACGCUUUCAGGGAUGCAGCCUCUAAGCCUGUGCGUUUUCCUGGUUGACCCCGUGUUCUGCUCAUGCUGGCAAGAGUCCACUGUGGCAUCUGCUGGAUCUGCUGUAGGAGCAUGGUCAGGGGGCUGAGGGUCUAUUUCUAGCCUUGAUAAAGAGCUGCCUGAAAUCGCUUAAAAGACUUUCCUUUCUCAAAUCCCUUCUCUGGAGCUUCUGGAUGUGGCAGGCUCUGCUCUGAAUGCUGCUUUUACCCAUAGAGGAGCGCCUGCUUUCCCAAGUCUUGUUGCUCUCCACCUUCUCCUGCUGUGUUGCUGUGUGACGUGUCCACCUUUACUUCGCCUGCUUCGCUACCAUCUCAUCUCAAUCUCAAGCCGUAGAACAACCUGGUGGUGCAGCCCCUUUCAUGAGAAAUCAACCUGCUUUUGAUUUUGUUUUAUGGUUUUAUUUGGUUGGUUUGGUUUGGUUUUAUUUUCCUCCUGAUUUUGGUUUUCUUCAGGCCUUCACCUAAAUAGGGCACAGACAAUGUUAAUUCGUGGAGCUCUUACUCCCUCCUAAACUGAAACUCAGAGAAGGCUGGGCCAGUGUGAAAAAGGUUCAAAUACUGUGUUCCUAAAGCAGUUCCCCAUUUGUUGGUGGAUGGAGGAUGUGGAUUUAUGCUUCAUAGACU